rnacentral:rRNA from 1 species
UACGAAGGGGGCUAGCGUUGCUCGGAAUCACUGGGCGUAAAGAGCGCGCAGGCGGUCGUUCAAGUCGCGUGUGAAAGCCCCCGGCUCAACUGGGGAGGGUCACGCGAUACUGAUCGACUCGAAGGCAGGAGAGGGAAGUGGAAUUCCCGGUGUAGUGGUGAAAUGCGUAGAUAUCGGGAGGAACACCAGUGGCGAAGGCGACUACCUGGCCCAUUCUUGACGCUGAGGCGCGAAAGCUAGGGGAGCGAACGGG